rnacentral:rRNA from 1 species
GAGGUCUCAAGCGUUGUUCGGAUUCAUUGGGCGUAAAGGGUGUGUAGGUGGCGCUGUAAGUCGGGUGUGAAAUCUCGGGGCUCAACUCCGAAACUGCAUUCGAUACUGCGGUGCUUGAGGACCGGAGAGGAGACUGGAAUUCAUGGUGUAGCAGUGAAAUGCGUAGAGAUCAUGAGGAAGACCAGUGGCGAAGGCGGGUCUCUGGACAGUUCCUGACACUGAGACACGAAGGCCAGGGGAGCAAACGGGAUUAGAUACCCCGGUAGUCCUGGCAGUAAACGGUGCACGUUUGGUGUGGGAGGAUUCGACCCCUUCUGCGCCGGAGCUAACGCGUUAAACGUGCCGCCUGGGGAGUACGGUCGCAAGAUUA